rnacentral:rRNA from 1 species
GAACGCUAGCUACAGGCUUAACACAUGCAAGUCGAGGGGAAACGAUAUUGGAAGCUUGCUUCCGAUAGGCGUCGACCGGCGCACGGGUGAGUAACGCGUAUCCAACCUGCCCACCACUUGGGGAUAACCUUGCGAAAGUAAGACUAAUACCCAAGGAUAUCUCUAGAAGACAUCUGAAAGGGAUUAAAGAUUUAUCGGUGAUGGAUGGGGAUGCGUCUGAUUAGCUUGUUGGCGGGGUAACGGCCCACCAAGGCGACGAUCAGUAGGGGUUCUGAGAGGAAGGUCCCCCACAUUGGAACUGAGACACGGUCCAAACUCCUACGGGAGGCAGCAGUGAGGAAUAUUGGUCAAUGGACGAGAGUCUGAACCAGCCAAGUAGCGUGCAGGAUGACGGCCCUAUGGGUUGUAAACUGCUUUUAUAAGGGAAUAAAGUGAGUCUCGUGAGACUUUUUGCAUGUACCUUAUGAAUAAGGACCGGCUAAUUCCGUGCCAGCAGCCGCGGUAAUACGGAAGGUCCGGGCGUUAUCCGGAUUUAUUGGGUUUAAAGGGAGCGUAGGCCGGAGAUUAAGCGUGUUGUGAAAUGUAGACGCUCAACGUCUGCACUGCAGCGCGAACUGGUUUCCUUGAGUACGCACAAAGUGGGCGGAAUUCGUGGUGUAGCGGUGAAAUGCUUAGAUAUCACGAAGAACUCCGAUUGCGAAGGCAGCUCACUGGAGCGCAACUGACGCUGAAGCUCGAAAGUGCGGGUAUCGAACAGGAUUAGAUACCCUGGUAGUCCGCACGGUAAACGAUGGAUGCCCGCUGUUGGUCUGAAUAGGUCAGCGGCCAAGCGAAAGCAUUAAGCAUCCCACCUGGGGAGUACGCCGGCAACGGUGAAACUCAAAGGAAUUGACGGAA